rfam:Schistosoma mattheei strain Denwood, Zambia genome assembly, scaffold: SMTD_scaffold0002019
AUCAAGCUGACGAGUUCCAAAUAAGACGAAAUGCGCGUCCUGGAU